AUUGAACGCUGGCGGCAUGCCUUACACAUGCAAGUCGAACGGUAACAGGUCUUCGGAUGCUGACGAGUGGCGAAUGGGUGAGUAAUACAUCGGAACGUGCCUAGUAGUGGGGGAUAACUACUCGAAAGAGUGGCUAAUACCGCAUGAGAUCUACGGAUGAAAGCAGGGGAUCGCAAGACCUUGUGCUACUAGAGCGGCCGAUGGCAGAUUAGGUAGUUGGUGGGAUAAAAGCUUACCAAGCCGACGAUCUGUAGCUGGUCUGAGAGGACGAUCAGCCACACUGGGACUGAGACACGGCCCAGACUCCUACGGGAGGCAGCAGUAGGGAAUUUUGGACAAUGGGCGCAAGCCUGAUCCAGCAAUGCCGCGUGCAGGAUGAAGGCCUUCGGGUUGUAAACUGCUUUUGUACGGAACGAAAAGCCCUGGGUUAAUACCCUGGGGUCAUGACGGUACCGUAAGAAUAAGCACCGGCUAACUACGUGCCAGCCGCCGCCGUAA
rnacentral:rRNA from 1 species